GGGGAUGUAGCUCAGUGGUAGAGCACUUACCUAAUAUACAUGAGGCCCUGGGAUCAAUCCCCAGUAUCACAC
rnacentral:tRNA from 1 species